UCUGGGCAUGGUGUGGGGUGCCUGUAAUCCCAGCUACUCAGGAGGUUGAGGCAGGAGAAUCACUUGAACCCAGGAGGCAUAGGCUGCAGUGAGCCGAGAUCGCACCACUGCACUCCAGCCUGGGUGACAGAGUGAGAUCCUGUCUCAA
rnacentral:SRP_RNA from 1 species